GCCCCCCCAAUGCUCUGUUCUGUUUGGCAGCAGAUGCGCUGCAUUUAAGAGGAUGAAGAGCUCAGCUGCCCCACAAGGACACUCCCAAUCCCAGCAACCCUGGGAGAGCAAACGAGGCAGGUCACGAUUGGGGCACAUCCCCCUGGGGCGUGGUCAAGUGCAGGCCCAGCCCCGCACCAGGGCUCUGCCCCCAACAGGGCAAGGCGAGGAUGAGGGCGGGGCCAGACCUCAGACGGCCGGAAGAGGACUGUCCUUGGCAGCUGGGGCGUGCAGAGGCGGGGAGAAGAGUGGCUGCUUGUUGAUGCAGGCCCCCUCCCCCCCCAACUCCCGCCACCGAGGGUCCCAACUGCGGGCAGGACCAGUCCAGCUCCCAACACCCGAGGAUACGCAGGCGUACAGUCCACCCAAGGCCGGAGGGAGCCCGUCAAGGAAACACAGUGAACUCUAAUGCUGAACACCAUGAGGGACCCAUAGGAAUGUCUGGAUAAAUCCUUGUUGACUGGUAAAGGAGGACCUCAGCCCAACACCUCGCAGACCAACAAUGGAAAGUUAACACAUAUUAACAACUUUUUAAAUGACCAUAAUCUUGGACGCAGAGGGCAGAUCCAGGAAAACACGGACUGCAGGAAUGGGGUGCUCCAGCAGGGCCAAAGAGAUUGUUUGAGCACAUCACUUUCCUUAAACUGCUCCUCCCAGAAUCGCCAUCAGGAUGAAAUGCAAACUCCACAACAUGGAAUAGAUGACCUUUCACGACAGAGCCUAAUCCUGCAUCUACAGCCUUGCCUGCUCUGGCCACCACAGCACUUUCACCCACUGGCCACACGGGGGACUCUCGUCAUGUGUUCCCUGAAUAUCACCAGUGGCCUUUCAAGCCCUGGGCUCUGCGGGUGCUCCUGCCUCUGCCUGCAGCGCUUCCUUCUACUGACCACUUCUGCCCUGCUUUAUGGACUCCUAUGCUUCUUUCAAGUCUCUUAAAACCUGCAUUUCCUCUAGGAGUUCCCUUGAUUUCCCUGGGCACAGGCAAAGUUCCAGCAGGUCUGCCUGAGGGUUAGAAUGAAGAAGGAGAUGGCAGCUACCAGAGGGGGUGAGAGAUGGUGAGACGCUCUUUGCAUGUGUCGUUUUCUCCUCCCGUCCUCAGGAGCACCUUCAUCUGCCCCACUUGUUUCCCUCGCCCCUCCUCUCCCAGAUCUGCGAGUCUGGGGCUUGUCCCAGAAGUAAGUAAAGCUCUCCAAGGCCUUU